rnacentral:rRNA from 1 species
GUGAACGCUGGCGGUAGGCCUAACACAUGCAAGUCGAACGGCAGCACAGUAAGAGCUUGCUCUUACGGGUGGCGAGUGGCGGACGGGUGAGGAAUACAUCGGAAUCUACUUUUUCGGGGGGGAUAACGUAGGGAAACUUACGCUAAUACCGCAUGCGACCUACGGGUGAAAGCAGGGGAUCUGCGGACCUUGCUGGAGUGAAUGAGCCGAUGUCGGAUUAGCUAGUUGGCGGGGUAAAGGCCCACCAAGGCGACGAUCCGUAGCUGGUCUGAGAGGAUGAUCAGCCACACUGGAACUGAGACACGGUCCAGACUCCUACGGGAGGCAGCAGUGGGGAAUAUUGGACAAUGGGCGCAAGCCUGAUCCAGCCAUACCGCGUGGGUGAAGAAGGCCUUCGGGUUGUAAAGCCCUUUUGUUGGGAAAGAAAAGCAGCAGGUUAAUACCCCGCUGUUCUGACGGUACCCAAAGAAUAAGCACCGGCUAACUUCGCG